GUUCAAGUUACUAAGUGCUGUUGGCGGAUGCCUUGGCAUCGAUAGGCGAUGAAGGACGUGCAAAUCUGCGAAAAGCUUCGGGAAGCUGAUAAGAGGUUGAGAUCCGGAGAUUUCCGAAUGGGGAAACCCUGUAAGAGUAAUUUCUUACAAUUUAUACCUGAAUACAUAGGGUAUAAAGGCGAACGCACUGAAGUGAAACAUCUCAGUAAGUGCAGGAAAAUAAAUCAAUCGAGAUUUUCUGAGUAGCGGCGAGCGAAAAGGAAAAAGUCUAAACCAAAAAAUUUUUUUUUGGGGUUGCAGGACCUUAAAUAAAGGUGUUUGGAGAGUUAGCAAAAUUUACUGAAAAGUAAAACCAUAGAAGGUGAAAGUCCUGUAUGCGAAAAUUUGAAAAACACUGAUAAGGCACCUAAGUAAGGCCAGACACGUGAAACCUGGUCUGAAUCUGGGGAGACCACUCUCCAAGGCUAAAUACUAAUCGAUGACCGAUAGUGAACUAGUACCGUGAGGGAAAGGUGAAAAGAACCCCUUUUAGGGGAGUGAAAAGAUCCUGAAACCAGCAGCAUACAAGCGGUCAAAGGCCAAUGUGCUUUUUAAGCACAGGGCUUAUGGCGUGCCUUUUGCAUGAUGAGCCAGCGAGUUAUAUUAUAUGGCAAGGUUAAAGAAUGAUCAUUCUGGAGCCGUAGUGAGAGCGAGCGUUAAAAGCGCGAUUUAGUCAUAUGAUGUAGACACGAAACCAAGUGAUCUAUCCAUGACCAGGUUGAAGCAGUGGUAAUACACUGUGGAGGACCGAACCAGUGAAUGUUGCAAAAUUCUUGGAUGAGUUGUGGAUAGGAGUGAAAGGCUAAUCAAACUUGGUAAUAUCUUGUUCUCUCCGAAAUAACUUUAGGGUUAGCCUUGAUGUAAUUAGCUGUGAUGGUAGAGCACUGGAUCUACAAGGGGGCUUUACCGGCCUACUAAGUGGAACCAAACUCCGAAUAUUACAGCUAUAAUCAGGAGAUAGACAGUGGGGGAUAAGCUUCAUUGUCAAAAGGGGAACAGCCCAGAUCGUCGAUUAAGGUCCCUAAUUCUAUGCUAAGUGGGAAAGGAAGUGAAGUUUCUAAGACAGUUGGAAUGUUGGCUUAGAAGCAGCAACCAUUUAAAGAGUGCGUAACAGCUCACCAAUCGAGAGACUUUGCGCCGAUAAUAUACGGGGCUAAGCAUAGAACCGAAAUCACGAGUUUAUGUAAAUAAGCGGUAGGAGAGCGUAAUAUAUUCGCAGAAGCUGUACUGUAAAGAGCAGUGGAGAAUAUAUUAGUGAAGAUGCAUGGCAUUAGUAACGUUAAAGGAAGUGAGAAUCUUCCUCGCCGAAAACCUAAGGUUUCCAGGGUAAAGAUCGUCUUCCCUGGGUUAGCCGGCCCCUAAGCUGAGGCUGAAAAGCGUAGGUGAUGGGAAACAGGUUAAAUAUUCCUGUGCCACCUAAAGCUAUAGUGAUGGAGUGACGGAAAUUAUAAAGUGCGCGGACGUUUGGAUGUGUCCGUUUUUCUAUGAGGUUGGUUGAUUGGUAAAUCCGUCAACAUAAUACCAGGUAGGAAAGGAGGGGAAAUGCGAAUGGAACCGAAGGCAUUGAAUGGUUUUCCAAGAAAUAACUUCUAACUGCUGAUGGUGACCGUACUAAAACCGACACUGGUAGGUAGGAUGAAUAUUCUAAGGCGCGCAGGAUAACUCUCGUUAAGGAACUCGGCAAAUUGUCUCCGUAACUUCGGAAGAAGGAGAGCCAUUUGAUGUGAUUAUACUUGCUGUAUGAGCAUCGAAUGGUCGCAGAGAAUAGACCCAGGCGACUGUUUAUCAAAAACACAGCACUAUGCGAAGUCGUAAGACUAGGUAUAUGGUGUGAAGCCUGCCCAAUGCCACAAGGUUAAAGUAAGGUGUCAGCGCAAGCAAAGCACUGAACUGAAGCCCUGGUGAAUGGCGGCCGUAACUAUAACGGUCCUAAGGUAGCGAAAUUCCUUGUCGGGUAAGUUCCGACCUGCACGAAUGGCGUAACGAUCUGGGUACUGUCUCAACGAGAGACCUGGUGAAUUUGUAGUAGCGGUGAAGAUGCCGUUUACCCGCGACAAGACGGAAAGACCCCGUGAACCUUUACUGUAGUUUGAUAUUGUUCCUUGAUCUUUCUCGUGUAGGAUAGCCGGGAGGCAAUGAUCUAUAUCCGCUAGGGUAUAGUUAGCCACCCUUGAAAUACCGGCCUUGGAAGGUUGAGGAACUAACAACCGCCAAUUAUCUUGGAGUUGGACAUUGUCAGAUGGUCAGUUUUACUGGGGCGGUAUCCUCCUAAAAAGUAACGGAGGAGUCCAAAGUUUGCCUCAUCAUGGUUGGCAAUCAUGAUUAGAGCGUAAAGGUAUAAGGCAAAUUAACUGUGAGACCUACAAGUCAAACAGAUACGAAAGUAGGGCUUAGUGGUCCGGCGGUAGAAAGUGGAAUUACCGUCGCUUAACGGAUAAAAGGUACUCCGGGGAUAACAGGCUUAUCGCCACCAAGAGCUCAUAUCGACGUGGCGGUUUGGCACCUCGAUGUCGACUCAUCGCAUCCUGGGGCUGGAGAAGGUCCCAAGGGUUUGGCUGUUCGCCAAUUAAAGCGGUACGCGAGUUGGGUUCAAAACGUCGUGAGACAGUUUGGUCCCUAUCUGUCGCGGGCGUAGGAUACUUGAAAGGAGCUGCUCUUAGUACGAGAGGACCGGAGUGGACAAACCAAUGGUGUUCCGGUUGUAUUGCCAAAUGCAUAGCCGGGUAGCUAUGUUUGGAAAGGAUAAGCGUUGAAAGCAUCUAAACGCCAAGCCUCCCUUAAGAUAAGGUAUCCAUAAAACUCCCUGAAGAUGACAGGGUUGAUAGGUCGGGUGUGUAAGCAUAGUAAUAUGUUUAGCUAACCGAUACUAAUAAGUUGAAUUAGACUUGAAUAU
rfam:Chlamydiae bacterium SM23_39 WORSMTZ_938, whole genome shotgun sequence.